AUGACUUGGAGGUGGACGACCAACGGCAUGUUCUCUUCUACUACCGCCUAUGCUGCGCAAUUCGAGGGGGGCACUCGCUUCAACGGACAACAACUGCUUUGGUUAGCUGACGCGUCGCUCAAGUGGUGUAUCUUUGCGUGGCUUACGAUUCUGGGUAAAUGCCUGAUGGCAAAAAACUUAAGAAGGGAUGGCCUCGCGAUCCGGUUUGUUGCCUGUGCCGCACGGCGGACGAGGACUCUCCUUCACAUGUUGGCUCGCUGCCCCUUUGUCCAAUCUCUUUGGGGCCUCAUGUUACGCAGCUGCAACCUACUUGCAACCUUGGGGCCAACGUCCGCGACAUCAUGCCUUGUUGAUUGGUGGGCCAACACCAUCAAUGUUGCGUCCAACAAGAUGGGAUGGAACGACAUCGUGGUGGUCUGGUGA
rnacentral:rRNA from 1 species